UAUUUCCAAUUGUUGCUAUUAUUGCAAUCCAUAACAAUAUGGCAUCAUUUGAAGAACGGGAUGUCUCUUCUGGUGGAUUCUGCAUGGACGAAGCUGCAUGGACGUUGGCUGAUGAGUUAAACAAGGAGUACUCUGUACUAAAGUCCUCGUUGGAGCUGGAAGAGUCUCCCCUGGCUCACUGAGUGCAGGCUCUACAGUCUCAUGGCAUCGACGAGUGUGUUGUUAAAAGAAGAAAUGACAGAGG